rnacentral:tRNA from 1 species
GUGACCGUGGUGUAGUGGUCUGCACACCAGGUUGUGGCCCUGGAGGUUCACGGUUCGAUCCCGGGCGGUCACC